GACGAACGCUGGCGGCGUGCUUAACACAUGCCAGUCGAACGGAAAGGCCCCUUCUGGGGUCCUCGAGUGGCGCACGGUUGCGUAACACGUGAGUAACCUGCCCUUGACUUCGGGAUAACUUCAGGAAACUGGGGCUAAUACCGGAUAGGAAUCCUUGCUGCAUGGUGGGGGUUGGAAAGCUUCGGCGGUUUUGGAUGGACUCGCGGCUUAUCAGCUUGUUGGUGGGGUAGUGGCUUACCAAGGCUUUGACGGGUAUCCGGACUGAGAGGGCGACCGGCCACAUUGGGACUGAGAUACGGCCCAGACUCCUACGGGAGGCAGCAGGGGGGAAUAUUGCACAAUGGGCGGAAGCCUGAUGCAGCAACGCCGCGUGCGGGAUGACGGCCUUCGGGUUGUAAACCGCUUUCAGCAGGGGCGAAGCUUGUGGUGACGGUACCUGCAGAAGAAGCACCGGCUAACUACGUG
rnacentral:rRNA from 1 species